UAGUGGCGAACGGGUGAGUAACACGUGGGCAAUCUGCCCUGCACUCUGGGACAAGCCCUGGAAACGGGGUCUAAUACCGGAUAAUACUGUCCCCCUCCUGGGGGACGGUUGAAAGCUCCGGCGGUGCAGGAUGAGCCCGCGGCCUAUCAGCUUGUUGGUGGGGUAAUGGCCUACCAAGGCGACGACGGGUAGCCGGCCUGAGAGGGCGACCGGCCACACUGGGACUGAGACACGGCCCAGACUCCUACGGGAGGCAGCAGUGGGGAAUAUUGCACAAUGGGCGAAAGCCUGAUGCAGCGACGCCGCGUGAGGGAUGACGGCCUUCGGGUUGUAAACCUCUUUCAGCAGGGAAGAAGCGAAAGUGACGGUACCUGCAGAAGAAGCGCCGGCUAACUACGUGCCAGCAGCCGCGGUAAUACGUAGGGCGCAAGCGUUGUCCGGAAUUAUUGGGCGUAAAGAGCUCGUAGGCGGUCUGUCACGUCGGGUGUGAAAGCCCGGGGCUUAACCCCGGGUCUGCAUUCGAUACGGGCAGACUAGAGUGUGGUAGGGGAGAUCGGAAUUCCU
rnacentral:rRNA from 1 species